CCUACGGGAGACAGCAGUGGGGAAUAUUGCGCAAUGGGCGAAAGCCUGACGCAGCGACGCCGCGUGAGUGAAGAAGUAAUUCGUUAUGUAAAGCUCUAUCAGCAGGGAAGAAAAUGACGGUACCUGAGUAAGAAGCCCCGGCUAACUACGUGCCAGCAGCCGCGGUACUACGUAGGGGGCAAGCGUUAUCCGGAUUUACUGGGUGUAAAGGGAGCGUAGACGGCAGUGCAAGUCUGGAGUGAAAGGCGGGGGCUCAACCCCCGGACUGCUCUGGAAACUGUACGGCUGGAGUGCAGGAGAGGUAAGUGGAAUUCCUAGUGUAGCGGUGAAAUGCGUAGAUAUUAGGAGGAACACCAGUGGCGAAGGCGGCUUACUGGACUGUAACUGACGUUGAGGCUCGAAAGCGUGGGGAGCAAACAGGAUUAGAUACCCGAGUAGUC
rnacentral:rRNA from 1 species